rnacentral:misc_RNA from 1 species
AGUCGUAACAAGGUAUCCGUAGGUGAACCUGCGGAUGGAUCAUUAACAAAGGUGUUUUUGAAGUUAUGUGAACAGUUUUGGUGGGGGUGUGGAGGUGGUGGUGGGUGAAUUGAGGGAGGGGUGUUUUGGAGAGGGAGUGGUGUUUGGUGCCACUCCUCUCCUCACUUGGUGUGGUUAGAUCAAAUCAAACCACACCACACCACCUCUCCUCCCUCACCCACCACCAAACACCACCCCAACUAUCAUGUAUACAAACUGAUGUCUGCCUAGUUUUCUGAACUAAAACAACUUUUAGCAACGGAUCUCUUGGCUCUC